CAGGAUUAUACUAUCAAAUGGUCAAUUUUAAAACACGCUAUUUCGUACACAGGGGGAUCAAAACGCUGCAAUUUAUGUUUGGAAGAAAAAUUUUGCAUUUUGAAAGACAUAAACAAAGACAAUUUACUCAAUAAAAGAAGCGAAACACAAAAAACGGUUUCGAGUAAACAAGGUCGUUAACAAAACCUAAUGACCCAAGCAUGCAUUGUUUCACCUAAGCAUUGUUUCGCC